UACGGAGGGUGCAAGCGUUGCUCGGAAUCAUUGGGCGUAAAGCGCGCGUAGGCGGCCGGAUAAGUCGGGUGUGAAAGCCCUGGGCUCAACCCAGGAAGUGCACUCGAAACUGCUCGGCUUGAAUAUGGAAGAGGGUUGCGGAAUUCCCGGUGUAGAGGUGAAAUUCGUAGAUAUCGGGAGGAACACCAGUGGCGAAGGCGGCAACCUGGGCCAAUAUUGACGCUGAGGUGCGAAAGCGUGGGGAGCAAACAGG
rnacentral:rRNA from 1 species